rnacentral:rRNA from 1 species
GCCUGAGGGGCGAGGGCCUUCGGGUCGUAAAACUCUGGCCUCAAGGAAGAUAAUGACGGUACUUGAGGAGGAAGCCCCGGCUAACUACGUGCCAGCAGCCGCGGGAAUACGUAGGGGGCUGGCGUUAUCCGGAGUUACUGGGCGUAAAGGGGGCGUAGGCGGUCUUUCAAGUCAGGAGUGAAAGGCUACGGCUCAACCGUAGUAAGCUCUUGAAACUGGGAGACUUGAGUGCAGGAGAGGGGAGUGGAAUUCCUAGUGUAGCGGUGAAAUGCGUAGAUAUUAGGAGGAACACCAGUUGCGAAGGCGGCUCUCUGGACUGUAACUGACGCUGAGGCACGAAAGCGUGGGGAGCAAACAGGAUUAGAUACCCUGGUAGUCCACGCUGUAAACGAUGAGUACUAGGUGUCGGGGGUUACCCCCUUCGGUGCCGCAGCUAACGCAUUAAGUACUCCGCCUGGGAAGUACGCUCGCAAGAGUGAAACUCAAAGGAAU